rnacentral:rRNA from 1 species
UCGUAAUAUUUUUUCAUAUUCAUCAUGUCGUAAGGGAAAAUAAUGAUAAUACCUUACUAUGAGUGUCGUCCAAAUCUGGUGCCAGAAGACUCGGUAAGACCAGAGACGCAAACGUUAAUCAUCAUAAACAGGCGUAAAGGGUUUGUAGGCAGCUUUUAUAAAAAUAUCAAAAACUAAACUAAAAGCUAGAAUCAAAAAGAGGUUAUAGUGUAUAACGCCUAGAGGAGGGCUGAUAUCCAUAGAUCCUAGGCAGAAUACUCAGGGCGAAGGCCACUCUCCACUAAUGAUUGACGCUGAGAAACGAAGGUUAGGGUAGGAAAUAGGAUUAGAUACCCCGGUACUCCUUUCUGUAAACGAUGAAUGGUAGUCAUUAGUUAAAUUAAAGUAACUAGAGGCGAAGUUAACACAAUAACCAUUCCGCCUUGUGAGUACUACUGCAAAGUAGAAAACAAAAAAAUUAGUCGGUCUCGAAGCAAACGGAGUGAAGCAUGUUAUUUA